AUCCAUCUGAUGAGUCCCAAAUAGGACGAAACGUGCGUCUUGGAU
rnacentral:hammerhead_ribozyme from 1 species